rnacentral:rRNA from 1 species
AUUGAACGCUGGCGGCAUGCUUUACACAUGCAAGUCGAACGGUAACAGGCCGCAAGGUGCUGACGAGUGGCGAACGGGUGAGUAAUGCAUCGGAACGUGCCCAGUCGUGGGGGAUAACGCAGCGAAAGCUGCGCUAAUACCGCAUACGAUCUAUGGAUGAACGCGGGGGACCGUAAGGCCUCGCGCGAUUGGAGCGGCCGAUGUCAGAUUAGGUAGUAGGUGGGGUAAAGGCUCACCAAGCCAACGAUCUGGAGCUGGUCUGAGAGGACGACCAGCCACACUGGGACUGAGACACGGCCCAGACUCCUACGGGAGGCAGCAGUGGGGAAUUUUGGACAAUGGGCGCAAGCCUGAUCCAGCAAUGCCGCGUGCAGGAAGAAGGCCUUCGGGUUGUAAACUGCUUUUGUACGGAACGAAACGGUCCUGGUUAAUACCUGGGGCUAAUGACGGUACCGUAAGAAUAAGCACCGGCUAACUACGUGCCAGCCGCCGCGGUAAAAC